rnacentral:rRNA from 1 species
AUUGAACGCUGGCGGCAUGCCUUACACAUGCAAGUCGAACGGUAACAGGUCUUCGGACGCUGACGAGUGGCGAACGGGUGAGUAAUACAUCGGAACGUGCCCAGUCGUGGGGGAUAACUACUCGAAAGAGUAGCUAAUACCGCAUACGAUCUGAGGAUGAAAGCGGGGGACCUUCGGGCCUCGCGCGAUUGGAGCGGCCGAUGGCAGAUUAGGUAGUUGGUGGGAUAAAAGCUUACCAAGCCGACGAUCUGUAGCUGGUCUGAGAGGACGACCAGCCACACUGGGACUGAGACACGGCCCAGACUCCUACGGGAGGCAGCAGUGGGGAAUUUUGGACAAUGGGCGAAAGCCUGAUCCAGCAAUGCCGCGUGCAGGAUGAAGGCCUCCGGGUUGUAAACUGCUUUUGUACGGAACGAAAAAGCUCCUUCUAAUACAGGGGGCUCAUGACGGUACCGUAAGAAUAAGCACCGGCUAACUACGUGCCAGCAGCCGCGGUAA